UUCGUAGGUGACCAGCGUUGUCCGGAUUUACUGGGCGUAAAGAGCGCGCAGGCGGUCGUUCAAGUCGAGUGUGAAAGCCCCCGGCUCAACUGGGGAGGGUCACUCGAUACUGAUCGACUGGAAGGCAGGAGAGGGAAGCGGAAUUCCCGGUGUAGUGGUGAAAUGCGUAGAUAUCGGGAGGAACACCAGUGGCGAAGGCGGCUUCCUGGCCUGUUCUUGACGCUGAGGCGCGAAAGCUAGGGUAGCAAACGGG
rnacentral:rRNA from 1 species